rnacentral:rRNA from 1 species
UACAGAGGUGGCAAGCGUUGUUCGGAAUUACUGGGCGUAAAGGGCGCGUAGGCGGCCUUGUAAGUCUCGUGUGAAAGCCCUCGGCUUAACUGAGGAUCUGCACGGGAUACUGCGAGGCUUGAGUUCGGGAGAGGAAAGCGGAAUUCCGGGUGUAGCGGUGAAAUGCGUAGAUAUCCGGAGGAACACCAGUGGCGAAGGCGGCUUUCUAGACCGACACUGACGCUGAGUGCGCGAAAGCCAGGGGAGCAAACGGG